CGUCAGGUAUUGCAUUGCGAUUUGGAUAAUUCAAUGUAGCGUCAGGUCGAGGGGCCAUGUGGGACAGAUUAAUCCAGAUAUACAACUGUAUACGCACCUGCCUUGCGGGUCCCUGGUUACACGGACGUUUGCACGCCAUGGACGGAACGAGGCAGAGCCGUGGCUCGACAUGUCGCCGGCGUCCUGAUCCGUGGAUCAGAUCCGGCGCUGGCCGGUAACGGCGGUAGUGACCGGAGUUAAUGCGCUAGAGGGGUUGGUCGUUGGCAGCAUCUACCUCCUACCUCCAGACCUCGCUUCCUCCAUUGCCGAGAGCGGCGACCCCGUGGAGAAAUCUGGUGCAACAAGGCGACGACCCGCUGAGGGAAGCAUGGAAUUCUUGAUGCAGCAGGACUUUGCUAGAAGAGGUGAACGGGAACAACCUGAUCAUGGAGAGGCACCGUGAGGACGCCGCCGGUCGUAGAGCUGCCGGCCAGGACGGUGUCGAGUGCUGAUGGCCAGAUUUGUGCCGAGGGCGCUGAUCCAGGGGCAGGCAGUGCAGACAAACCUCAAGCUUCAGAGCACUCCAUCCAGCAAGUUGACCAAAAAACAUCUGGAUGGACGCAAAGGUACGAAGAUUAGUGGUGGGAACUAGGUUUGUCUGUCAUUAAGCAUUGUGCUGACCACGCAGGAUAUAUUGACAGUAAAUCAUAUAUACUGUAGUAAAAAUCUGAAUAUGUUGUUGGUACGAAUUAACUGAAAAGUUAUAUGUGGCAUCAUUAGGAGACAUACUGUUAUAGAUACUAGUGUCUAAACAACAAAGUGUAUAUCCACUUGGGUAAAGAUAACUAAGUCUGCACAAUAUGUAUUUACAAAAUUACUAGUGAAUGUAGUUUCACGGCGUACUGAACUAUACGAAUGAACUGAAAA